AGUGAACGCUGGCGGUAGGCCUAACACAUGCAAGUCGAACGGCAGCACAGUAAGAACUUGCUCUUACGGGUGGCGAGUGGCGGACGGGUGAGGAAUACAUCGGAAUCUACUUUUUCGUGGGGGAUAACGUAGGGAAACUUACGCUAAUACCGCAUACGACCUACGGGUGAAAGCAGGGGAUCUUCGGACCUUGCGCGAUUGAAUGAGCCGAUGUCGGAUUAGCUAGUUGGCGGGGUAAAGGCCACCAAGGCGACGAUCCGUAGCUGGUCUGAGAGGAUGAUCAGCCAUACUGGAUCUGAGACACGUUCCAGACUCCUACGGGAGGCCGCAGUGGGGAAUAUUGGACAAUGGGCGCAAGCCUGAUCCAGCCAUACCGCGUGGGUGAAGAAGGCCUUCGGGUUGUAAAGCCAUUUUGUUGGGAAAGAAAAGCAGCAGGUUAAUACCCAGCUGUUGUGACGGUACCAAAAGAAUAAGCACCGGCUAACUUCGUG
rnacentral:rRNA from 1 species